GGGGCUGUGGCGGAAUGGCAGACGCGGUGGUCUUAAAAACCACUCUCUUCGGGGGUGUGGGUUCGACUCCCACCAGCCCCA
rnacentral:tRNA from 1 species